rnacentral:rRNA from 1 species
CCUACGGGAGGCAGCAGUGAGGAAUAUUGGUCAAUGGACGAGCGUCUGAACCAGCCAAGUAGCGUGAAGGAUGACUGCCCUAUGGGUUGUAAACUUCUUUUAUCUGGGAAUAAAACAGGGUAUGCAUACCCUCUUGUAUGUACCAUAUGAAUAAGGAUCGGCUAACUCCGUGCCAGCAGCCGCGGUAAUACGGAGGAUCCGAGCGUUAUCCGGAUUUAUUGGGUUUAAAGGGAGCGUAGGUGGAUUGUUAAGUCAGUUGUGAAAGUUUGCGGCUAAACCGUAAAAUUGCAGUUGAAACUGGCAGUCUUGAGUACAGUAGAGGUGGGCGGAAGUCGUGGUGUAGCGGUGAAAGGCUUAGAUAUCACGAAGAACUCCGAUUGCGAAGGCAGCUCACUGGACUGCAACUGACACUGAUGCUCGAAAGUGUGGGUAUCAAACAGGAGUAGAUACCCUUGUAGUC